GCAGAAAGGUAGACCAGCCCCGUAUUGGAUCGGGGUCCAAGCUGGUAGAGGUGUUUUCCAGGCAAAUCCGGAAGACAGUCAUCCUCGAGAAGUGAUAGGGAGUUUCCGUAACGGAGACGAACUGGUUCAACUACGCUGCCAAGAAAAACUUCUAGUGAGUGGCUUCAAUAUCCGUACCGUAAACCGACACAGGUAGAUGGGCAGAGAAUGCUAAGGCGCUCGAGAGAACUCUCGUUAAGUAACUCGGCAUAAUAGCCCCGUAACUUCGGAAGAAGGGGUGCUCCAUUAGCGUCAAGUAAAUACUUAUGUAGCGCGAAGGAGCGACACUAAAGUGGGUUCUGUGACUGUUUAGCAAAAACACAUGGCUCUGCUAACUCGUAAGAGGAUGUAUAGGGCCUGACACCUGCCCGGUGCCGGAAGGUUAAAAGGAGGGGUCAGCUGGUCGUAAGACCGGUGAAGCUCUGACUUGAAGCCCCAGUAAACGGCGGCCGUAACUAUAACGGUCCUAAGGUAGCGAAAUUCCUUGUCGGGUAAGUUCCGACCUGCACGAAUGGUGUAACGAAAGAACCGCUGUCUCAACGAGCGAGUCGGCGAAAUUGUAGCAUCGGUGAAGAUGCCGGUUACCUGCAUCAAGACGAAAAGACCCCGGAACCUUUACUGUAACCUGGUACUGGAUUUUGGUCCUGUAUGUGUAGCAUAGGUGGGACGCUAUGAAGUCCCGGCGCUAGCCGGGAUGGAGCGGAAAUGUGAAAUACCACCCUUAUUGUAUUAGGAUUCUAACCCGCGGCCGUGAAACCGGCCGGGGGACAAUGCCAGGCGGGCAGUUUGACUGGGGCGGUUACCUCCUAAAUUGUAACGGAGGCGUACAAAGGUUCUCUCAGUGCGGACGGCAAUCGCACGGUGAGCGUAAUGGCAGAAGAGAGCUUAACUGUGAGGCGUACAGGCCGAGCAGAUACGAAAGUAGGUCUUAGUGAUCCGGUGGUGGCGUGUGGAAGCGCCAUCGCUCAACGGAUAAAAGGUACUCCGGG
rnacentral:rRNA from 1 species